CUUCAUUUGCCUGAAGAAGACCCAACAGGGUCAAAACGUUGCUUUUUUUAAUUAGUUGAUAAAAAUGGGAGUUUAAGUGUUGCAGACAUUACAAAUUUUUUACUUUAACAGUUUCUUUUGUCCUGCACCUGGCGGAAGUUUUUUUGACUGCGCUAAUGGUUCGUGAACACCUCACCGGAAGUAGGAUAAGAACUACAAUACCCAUCUGCCCCCGCGGUCACUGGUUAACUAAUUACACGGCUGUUUCCAAUUGCGCUGAUGAGAGAUUUUCCAACUUCUUCAAAACCAAAUAUAACCGAAGCAGAAACAUCACUGGGAAAAGAAAAACUCAUAAAAAUCACACUAACAUUUUCUGGUAGAGUUAAAAUGCCAUGAAGGAUCAGCCCUCUCACAGAUGCCAUUUAUUAUGUCACUACCAAGAGUGACAAGACAUCUAAGCUAGAGGUGAAGUACAUAAGUUCAGAGAAAGGGCGUGGUAUCUUCACUCUAACUUCAUUUGACAAAGGUGAUUUUGUGGCAGAGUACCGAGGAGAAAUGAUUGAUUUCAUCGAGUCUCAAAGAAGAAGAAUUUACCAUGAUGCAUGUGGUGUGUUUAUGUUCGACUUCAAGUGGAAGGGAAAAACUUGGUGUAUUGAUGCUGCAAAAGAAGAUGGAUCUUUUGGUAGGCUUGUUAAUGAUCACAAGCAGCCAAAUUGCAGAAUGAAGAAGAUUGAAGUGGAUAGGAGGCCACAUCUUUGUCUCUUUGCAUUAAAAGACAUUAAACAAGGACAAGAAAUUACAUAUGAUUAUGGAGGAACAGACUGGCCUUGGCGUAGCAAGGUUAUGGAAGACAACCCUGAUGAGAACAAUGUCCAAGAAAAACAUCCAUCACAGUCUACAUCUCUUCUGGAUCAUAAUACUGGUACUAGUGCAUCAGUGACUGAACGCAUUCUUCAUCAGAAGACGGUGAUGAAUAAGAUAUGUGCAUACCAAGGUUAAGGAGGACCAAAAGUGUCUUUAUGAAAGACUUAAUUCCUGAUACUUCAGAUGAGCUCUUUGAUUCUACUCCAGACAGUGGAGAGGAAUAUGUCCCAAACUCCAAAGAUGACAGUGAUGAGAGCAGUUCAGAGAGUAGCAUGAUCGUUAAACCUUUAAAUUUGUGUCGGUCAGACACAGACCCUGUUCUUCCCAGCAGUUCUGUCCCUGAUGGCACCACCCCAAAUGUCAUGGACAAAAGCAGUCAUGAGACCAUGGAAGUAGUUGAUCAUUCUCAAGUUAGGGACAGUGAUGUAGCUUGCAUCAGUCCAACAAAUGUUCAGAAAAAUGCAAGAGUAGUUGUAAAUUCAGUCAAAAGAAAACAUGAUGGUGGUAGGGUAUACAAUAAGAAACACUAUUGUCUGUUUUGCUUCAAACCUUAUAACAAGAUGGCAAGACAUUUGGAAUAUGUGCAUUCCACUGAAAAAGAAGUAGCUGAAGGAUGCCAGCUUCCAAAGAGUUC